GCACCUGUAGCUCAAUGGAUAGAGCGGCUGACUUCGGAUCAGUAGGUUGCGGGUUCAACUCCUGCCAGGUGCG
rnacentral:tRNA from 1 species